UUAUUUGUAUUUGACACAAAAUUAAUCAAAAGCUGGUACGUGUUUGAGGUUAAAAAUGUCAAAACUCAUCGUUAUUGGUUUAGCUGUUGCGUGUUUGGUCCAAAAAAGUGAAGCCAUGAUACCAGCAUACUCAGUGUCAGCACUUCGUCUGGCAUUCGACGAAAUCUCAGCAGUUUUGCCAAUUGCCAAUCAAUUGGCAUGUCUUUUGAUACCCUUCCUAAUCAAUUUGAUUAACAAUUUGAACAACCUGUCAAAUAUUGUGCAGAAUUUGACUCCUGCAGUGUUGCCGUACUUCGGAUGUACUUUACCACUGUUGUAUGCCACUUUGACUGAUCUGGCAUCAGUUCUCUUUCUUUAUAUUAGUGUUCUGAUUUCUCUGUUCAGAUCCAAUGUUCUGGCAGCCCCAGGGCUCUUGUUUGGUCUGGUAUCACAGGUUCUAAACCUUGUAUUGAACCUGCUUAGUGGCCUCUCAGAUGGCACUGGCCUGCUGAGUGGUCUCAUCAAAUUGAUCACGAAUGUUGUGGUUGAAUUAGAAAAAUUGUUGUUGUAAUUUAUUACUAUGUUUAUUUAAGUUAUAUUUAUAAAUAAAAGCUGUUUUAAAAA